rnacentral:rRNA from 1 species
GCAUAUCAAUAAGCGGAGGAAAAGAAACCAACAGGGAUUGCCUCAGUAACGGCGAGUGAAGCGGCAAAAGCUCAAAUUUGAAAUCUGGCCCUUUCAGGGUCCGAGUUGUAAUUUGCAGAGGAUGCUUCGGGAGCGGCGGCGGUCUAAGUCCCCUGGAACGGGGCGUCAUAGAGGGUGAGAAUCCCGUCUUGGACCGCAUGCCCGUGACCGUGUGAAGCUCCUUCGACGAGUCGAGUUGUUUGGGAAUGCAGCUCAAAAUGGGUGGUAAAUUUCAUCUAAAGCUAAAUACUGGCUGGAGACCGAUAGCGCACAAGUAGAGUGAUCGAAAGGUUAAAAGCACCUUGAAAAGGGAGUUAAAUAGCACGUGAAAUUGUUGAAAGGGAAGCGCUUGCAACCAGACUCGGCCGCAGAGGCUCAGUGGGCACGUGUGCCCAUGCACUCCUCUGUGGUCGGGCCAGCAUCAGUUCUGACGGCCGGUCAAAGGCCCCCGGAAUGUAUCCUCCUCCGGGAGGUCUUAUAGCCGGGGGUGCAAUGCGGUCAGUCGGGACUGAGGAACGCGCUUCGGCACGGAUGCUGGCGUAAUGGUUGUAAGCGACCCGUCUUGAAACACGGACC